CAGAUGUAUAAGACGCUGGUGAGAACGCAUUUAGAGUAUUGCGUUCAGUCCUGGGCACCAUGUUAUGGGAAAGAUGUUGUCAAGCUGGAAAGGAUUCAAAGAAGAUUUAAGAGG